CGGGGCAGGGUGCCGGCCGGGGCAGGGUGCCGGCCCGCGCGCUGUCCUCAGCCAGCCUUCUGCCCCCUCAUGGCUGCGGCCCAGGCCUCCAAGCGGGGCCCCACGCUCCCCUUUGACAGGCGGGGGCCGCAAAGAGAGAAGCAAGUGGUGGGGGAACAGAAGGCUCCCUGAGGACGGGCGGGGGCUGACACCCCUCAACACCCCACCCUGGGACACAGUGACACUGAGGACAGGUGGGGGCUGACACCCCACAACACCCCGCCGUGGGACAGUGACGCUGAGGACGGGUGGGGGCUGACACCCCACAACACCCCGCCCUGGGACACAGUGACACUGAGGACAGGCCAAGUGUAAUGUUCCUCCCAGAUAUCGUACUGUUAAUGCCUUUCCUCCAGAAAAAGUCAACUCUGCUAAUACCUUGAUUUCAGACUUCUGGCCUCCAGAUCCAUGAGAUAAUAAAUUUCUGUUGUUUUAAGUCAAAGAAAGAAGGAAGGAAGAAAUGAAGGGAGGGAGGGUAGGGAAAGGAAGAAAUAAAAUAAUAAAAUAAAACCUUUCUAAGAGAAUCCCUCACCUUCCACCACCAAAUCUACCCACCCCCUUGCAACUACCCCCACAUUCUCUGCCUGCGUCCCUAUUACCCUAGAUGAAUUGUCCCUGUUCCCCUCAAAGUCCAGCCCCUCUGUGUGGGCUCAGAAUCCCGUCUCUUCGUGCCUGCUCAAGGACCUCCUCUCAGUGACCCCUCCCAGGCGUCUUGACAUUGACAGUGUCUGUCCUGCUUCUGGACAGCAGUCAAACAUGUUCUAGAUCUCCUAUCAUGAAAAGUGUUCUUCCUUGAUCCUGAGGUCCUCUCCAUAGCAAAAUUCAUCAGAAGGAUUUUCUGUGCUCAAUGUCGCCAGAUUUUUCCAUUCUCUUUACCCUCAACCUAUUCCAAUCAGGGUAACACUCCUUGGAAACUGCUCUUGGCAUAAUCACCAAUUAUUUUUGUGUUGUUUGAUCCAAACUGCUUUGCAGUCUGCUUACUCUCCAUGACAGAGAUCUAAAAAUAGUCUCUCAAGUCCAACUUCUUAAAAAGUUCUUCCCCCACAUUUUGGAAAUACUUUCGAGGACUUUUUUUUUUUUUUUUUAAUUUAAGACAAAUUCUGGAGUCAUAGUUCCCAUGUAAUAAAAUGCAUGCGCAUUCCAAGUGCACAGUUUGAUACAAAUUGGCAAAUGUACACCUGAGUGCCCAGCACCACUGUCAAAAUGUAGAACUUUCCCACUACUCCAGGCAGGACCCUCUGAUUCUUCCCGGUCAGCCCUGUCCUCACCCCUGGCCCCAAGCAAUGACCAAUCUGUGUUUUGUUGCUAUAGGUUAGAUCUGGCUUCUCUAGAGCUUCACACAAACAGAAUUACACAGGAUGAGUUUCGUGUCUAGCUUCUCUCACUCAGCACAGUGUUUUUGGGAUUCCCCAUGUUGCUGUGUAAAGCAGCGUCUCCUUUCCAAGGACAGUGUUUAGUAACAGAAAAUAAAACAAGCGUCAGUUCUGGAUGGAACUUUCAUGAGUAUUCUCAGUUCCACACUUCAUUCAGGCAAGAUUCUUUGAACCAACUUAUGACACGGAAUGACGUCUCGCAUCUGCGGUUGCCGGAAAGAGGAGACAUGCCCUUCCUGAAACUUUUUCUCCUGCAGCAUUCUUCAAACCCAGUGUUUGGAGCUUUCCAAACACUUUCCACCCCCACGUACAGAAAAGAGCUCAAAAUCCACCAUAUGGGAAGGAGAAAAGCAGAGGAUUUUAAACGAGGGGAAUAAGGGGCACGUGAUGUUCUUCUCUGACACGACUGAUACAGAUUAGCCCCCUGUCCGGUCACCUCCCAUCUCCCUGACUUAUCCCUGACACUGGCUGCCGUCGAGUGACCUUGCUCCUUUGAGUACCUGUGGCACAUGAAGAGCCGGUCACCGGCAGCGGCAUCCCUCCCUGGGAGACCAUGCGCUCUCCCACCCCAGGAAGCCCCACGUGGCCACGAGUUGCGCUUUGGCCGGAUCUGAAGUCCUGGCUAGAGACAGCUCCAGCUCAUACACUGAAUUGCUGGGGACGAUUCCCCUGCGUGAACACGCCGCCACUGACUGUGCCCUCAGCCUACUCAGCAUUUAGGCUGUUUCCAUUUUUCACGUUCACUGUCGACACCUCAGCACGCAGUCCCCAGGCGGCCCCUGAGCCCGUGCUUUCGUGGGAGACGUUGCCCGGGUGUGUGCUGGGCCGGGGGUGGCAGGCUGGAGGGUCUGUUCUUCUUCCCCUUUCCGGGGCAUCUUGAGGGCUCUCCGGGGAUUGUGCCAGGGGCUCUUUUACUUCCUGCCACCCCAGGGGAGGGAAAACGGAGCCCUUCAGACAGGACCUCUGCCCGUGAGCCAGAGGCAGGCCCUGUGGCUCCCCAAUCCCACUUUCUGCUUGUGUCUGGUUCACAAAGAGGUCUCCCUCACUCGGAUCUUGACGAGAUCUUUUGGGGCCUUUCUCCUUUUGUGUUUCAUUCACGGCUAUUGUACAUCUGAAGCUUGGAGUCACUUUGCCGUCGGAUUGUACGUCUGUCUGUCUUAAGCUACUUUUCCGGGCUUCCCUUCCAUCCUCCCGCUGUGCACUUCUGCUUGUACACCUGCCUCUUGGGCCCAGAAAUACUUUCCCAGGCUUGUCUUGGAGGCUGUAGCGUUCUUUGUUCUGUUCUCCGGGUCAUCUUUCCAAGCUCGGUUCAGACGCCAGCUCUUUUGUUUCUUCGGUCGGAAGGAACCUCUCCCUUUUCCUUCUUCCUGGGACAGUCGCUGUGACUACGUUUGUACUCAGGGGUCUGCACUGUCUGGUGUUAGCCGGACUGUGACUUUCUGGCAGCUGAUCCCCCUCCUUGUUCCAUGACCAUCCCAUGGGCCCUGCCCCCCCCCCCAAAUGAGAGCAUACAGAGCAUCAUUGAGGCAAAGGUGACCUGGGCUGUGUGGGGUGCCCUCUGGGUUCCUAUUGCCGGAUGGCCAUAGUGCUAGCAAUCUCCAUGAGUGGGCAUUCUGCGAAGAGAACCUUACAGCUCUGAAAGACUAUGAAAUGGUUCUGCUGUCUCUGUCACAGAUGAGGCAAUUAAGGCUCAGAGAGGUAAAAUGACUUAUUCAAGGUAAUACAGCCCAAACUGCAUUUACCAUUGUCGAUGGCCCCUUCAUUCCUUUUCCCAAAUUACCCUACAACCACAGGACUUUCUGAUGUCCAGGACAGGAAGUGCUCGUAGAGCACGCUUCCCCUUGUGGUGGGCAGCAGCAACGCCCAGUGUCCCUGCAAAGGUUGUCUGGUCACAGCCUUGAGCUUAACAAUCAAGUCACAGGAUACUCGGUUGAUCAGAGAAAAGUUUGAGACUUCCUAUGUUUU